rnacentral:rRNA from 1 species
GACGAACCGAGCGAACGUUAUUCGGAAUCACUGGGCUUAAAGGGCGCGUAGGCGGGCUGUCAAGUCUGGGGUGAAAUCCCACGGCUCAACCGUGGAACUGCCUUAGAUACUGACGGCCUCGAGGAAGGUGAGGGGCAUGCGGAACUGUAGGUGGAGCGGUGAAAUGCGUAGAGAUCGGAAAGAACACCAACGGCGAAAGCACUCUGCUGGGCCGACACUGACACUGAGAGACGAAAGCUAGGGGAGCGAAUGGG